CCUUUCCUUUCUAAGAGUGUUUUGUUAUUUGUUAGUAUUUUUAAAAGAAAACUGCUACUAUUUGCGUUAUGGAAAUUUAAAGGAAAAAUGCUAUUUUUGGGUGGUUGUAGUUGGAGGCAUCAACAAUUCAGGAGCUGAAUUAGAGAAAUCCACUAUUUCAACUUCCCUCGAAGAUUCUCUGUAGCUUCACGUUGAGUUGCUGGAGCAACAUUAAUUUGCAGGUAAUGGAUCUAGUAGUUCUACCUACUGAAGCUAGCCAGUGUUAAGCAACGCCUUUUGAAUUUUAUAAGAUCGUUGUCAACUGUGCUGGCCUUUGCCUUUUGUUUGUCAAGUUUGCAUAUCAUCACUUACUGUGGUAUGAGAUGUUAAUUUCUCUAUUGAUUAUAUUGGACCGGGGAUGAGAAGACUUCUGAAGAGCAAUGUCAAUUUGUUUAGUCAUUUGGGGUACAGGUAGCAUGAAUGUUCUUGACAAAUUAAUUCAAGGUUGUUGUUAUGUAUUGGAGUUUGAUUAAAGUAAUGUAUUGUGUUUUGUAAUGUAAUAUAUAAAUACCAAACAAUAUAAUAUGUAGUGGAUCGCAUCAUGUAUGUGCAUGCAUUUUACAUGAUAAAUAUUGAUUUUUUAUUUUAUUUUAUAUGCAUUUAAUUUAAAAAGUUAA